rnacentral:rRNA from 1 species
AGCAGCCGCGGUAAUUCCAGCUCCAAUAGCGUAUAUUAAAGUUGUUGCAGUUAAAAAGCUCGUAGUUGAAUUUCGGGACCAAUUUGUUGGUCGUGCCUCGGUACGUACUGGUAUUAUUGGUUUCUCCCUUCUGAAGAACCUCGAUGCCAUUAAUUUGGUGUCGUGGGGAAUCAGGACUGUUACUUUGAAAAAAUUAGAGUGUUUAAAGCAAGCAUACGCUUGAAUACAUUAGCAUGGAAUAAUGAAAUAGGACGUUUGAUUCUAUUUUGUUGGUUUCUAGGAUCGACGUAAUGAUUAAUAGGGAUAGUUGGGGGCAUUAGUAUUCAAUUGUCAGAGGUGAAAUUCUUGGAUUUAUUGAAGACUAACCACUGCGAAAGCAUUUGCCAAGGAUGUUUUCAUUAAUCAAGAACGAAGUUAGGGGAUCGAAGACGAUCAGAUACCGUCGUAGUC